AUUGAACGCUGGCGGCAUGCCUUACACAUGCAAGUCGAACGGUAACGGGUCCUUCGGGAUGCCGACGAGUGGCGAACGGGUGAGUAAUAUAUCGGAACGUGCCCAGUAGUGGGGGAUAACUGCUCGAAAGAGCAGCUAAUACCGAAUACGACCUGAGGUUGAAAGGGGGGGAUCGCAAGACCCCUCGGUCUUGGAGCGGCCGAUAUCAGAUUAGCUAGUUGGUGGGGUAAAGGCCUACCAAGGCAACGUUCUGUAGUUGGCCUGUGAGGACGACCAGCCACACUGGGACUGAGACACGGCCCAGACUCCUACGGGAGGCAGCAGUGGGGAAUUUUGGACAAUGGGCGCAAGCCUGAUCCAGCAAUGCCGCGUGCAGGAAGAAGGCCUUCGGGUUGUAAACUGCUUUUGUCAGGGAAGAAAUCUUCUGGGCUAAUACCCCGGGAGGAUGACGGUACCUGAAGAAUAAGCACCGGCUAACUACGUGCCAGCCGCCGCAGUAA
rnacentral:rRNA from 1 species